rnacentral:rRNA from 1 species
GACAGAGGUGCCAAGCGUUAGGCGGAAUCACUGGGCUUAAAGCGUGUGUAGGCGGAUGCCUAAGUACCUUGUGAAAUCCCAACGGCUCAACCGUGGAACUGCUUGGUAUACUGGGUGUCUUGAGCCAUCUAGGGGCUACCGGAACAAAUGGUGGAGCGGUGAAAAUGCGUAGAUAUCAUUUGGAACGCCAAUGGUGAAAAACAGGUAGCUGGGGGAUGUGCUGACGCUGAGACACGAAAGCCAGGGGGAGCAAAACGGGGA